rnacentral:rRNA from 1 species
GAUGAACGCUGGCGGCGUGCCUAAUACAUGCAAGUCGAGCGAACAGACGAGGAGCUUGCUCCUCUGACGUUAGCGGCGGACGGGUGAGUAACACGUGGAUAACCUACCUAUAAGACUGGGAUAACUUCGGGAAACCGGAGCUAAUACCGGAUAACAUGUUGAACCGCAUGGUUCAACAGUGAAAGACGGUCUUGCUGUCACUUAUAGAUGGAUCCGCGCCGCAUUAGCUAGUUGGUAAGGUAACGGCUUACCAAGGCAACGAUGCGUAGCCGACCUGAGAGGGUGAUCGGCCACACUGGAACUGAGACACGGUCCAGACUCCUACGGAGGCAGCAGUAGGGAAUCUUCCGCAAUGGGCGAAAGCCUGACGGAGCAACGCCGCGUGAGUGAAGAAGGUCUUCGGAUCGUAAAACUCUGUUAUUAGGGAAGAACAAAUGUGUAAGUAACUAUGCACGUCUUGACGGUACCUAAUCAGAAAGCCACGGCUAACUACGUG